UACGAAGGGGGCUAGCGUUGCUCGGAUUGACUGGGCGUAAAGGGCGCGUAGGCGGUUCGUACAGUCAGACGUGAAAUUCCUGGGCUCAACCUGGGGGCUGCGUUUGAUACGUGCGGACUUGAGUGCGGAAGAGGAUCGUGGAAUUCCCAGUGUAGAGGUGAAAUUCGUAGAUAUUGGGAAGAACACCGGUGGCGAAGGCGGCUACCUGGACAGAAACUGACGCUGAGGCACGAAAGCUAGGGGAGCAAACAGG
rnacentral:rRNA from 1 species